rnacentral:rRNA from 1 species
CCCUUAGAUGUUCUGGGCCGCACACGCGCUACAAUGGCAAAGUCAACGAGCUAAUCCUAUGCUGACAAGCACAGGUAAUCUUUUCAGUCUUUGUCGUGAUGGGGAUAGACCCUUGUAAUUAUUGGUCUCCAACGAGGAAUUCCUAGUAAACGCAAGUCAUCAACUUGCAUUGAUUACGUCCCUGCCCUUUGUACACACCGCCCGUCGCACCUACCGAUUGAAUGGUCCGGUGAAGUCUUCGGACCGAUGCUAACUCGUUGGCAACGGAAAGUCGAGUAAACCUUACCAUUUAGAGGAAGGUGAAGUCGUAACA